UCACCCCUCAAGCCCCCGGCUUGGUGUUGGACGGUCUGGUUUCGGUGACGAAACCCCUCCUAAAGUCAAUGACGGCGGCCUGUUUGACCCCGGUACACUGAGCUUCUUCACAGAGCACGUACCGGUUUCAAGGUUGACAGGCCUCGGUCUUCUCCCGUUAACGGGAAACUUCUUUCAA
rnacentral:misc_RNA from 1 species